UAUAAAACUCAUCGCCAAAGCCUACUUAUAAAGCCUUGCUUGUCCUUCUUCAUCCUGUUUUCCAGAGAUGGGAAAUCAAUAUAAUUAUAAGCAAGGUCUAGAAUGAUGGGAUUUCGAGGUAUUGAUUGGAAGGCUGGAGGGAAGACUUCAAUGCGAGGAGGAGCUUUCACAUUUGCACCGCCGACUGCAGACUCAUAGGCAUCAAGUUUCUCAAGAAGGGAUUUUUCCACCUUCUUGUCACCCCCACUUAAUGAUAUUGCAGAAACUUUUUCCGAAAGGUUCUCUGGAGCUUUUUCUUCCUCCAAAAUUCCUGAUGCAUGCUCUAUGCAACUAUUAGAUCUGCACUCAUUGUAUAAUGUCUUCAGCUCUUUGAUCAUCAUCUCAUCAGUGGUACUGAGUGACUGAAACUUCUGUAAUGCAUUCUCAGCAAGGGAACGAGCACGGCAGUAUAAUGCAUAUGCUUCUGUUCUCUUCCCAGCUAAGCUGUAUGACUUUGCUAGGUAGAAGCACCUUUCAGCUCGGAAAGCCAAAUUUCUAACUGAACAGUUUUCAGAGAAUGCAAUCUCCUCAUGUUUUGUAUCUCUUCCAGAACUAACUAAGUCAGAAAGAUCAGAUGUGUUCU
rnacentral:misc_RNA from 1 species